UACGUAGGUGACCAGCGUUGUCCGGAUUUACUGGGCGUAAAGAGCGCGCAGGCGGUCGUUCAAGUCGAGUGUGAAAGCCCCCGGCUCAACUGGGGAGGGUCACUCGAUACUGAUCGACUUGAAGGCAGGAGAGGGAAGCGGAAUUCCCGGUGUAGUGGUGAAAUGCGUAGAGAUCGGGAAGAACAUCAGUGGCGAAGGCGGUCUGCUGGGCCGUUGCUGACGCUGAGGCGCGACAGCGUGGGGAGCAAACAGG
rnacentral:rRNA from 1 species